rnacentral:piRNA from 1 species
UGACUAUCAUUAGGAGGCUAAGAGGUC